UACGGAGGGGGCUAGCGUUGUUCGGAAUCACUGGGCGUAAAGCGUGCGUAGGCGGCCAUUCAAGUCAGAGGUGAAAUCCCAGGGCUCAACCCUGGAACUGCCUUUGAGACUAGGUGGCUGGAACACGGGAGAGGUGAGUGGAAUUCCGAGUGUAGAGGUGAAAUUCGUAGAUAUUCGGAAGAACACCAGUGGCGAAGGCGGCUAACUGGACCAUUCUUGACGCUGAGGCGCGAAAGCGUGGGGAGCAAACAGG
rnacentral:rRNA from 1 species